UACGUAGGGCGCGAGCGUUGUCCGGAAUCAUUGGGCGUAAAGAGCGUGUAGGCGGCUUGGUAAGUCCGCUGUGAAAGUCCAGGGCUUAACCCUGGAAAGCCAGUGGAAACUGUCAAGCUAGAGUCCGGAAGAGGUGAGUGGAACUCCUGGUGUAGCGGUGAAAUGCGCAGAUAUCAGGAAGAACACCAAUGGCGAAGGCAGCUCACUGGGACGGUACUGACGCUGAGACGCGAAAGCGUGGGGAGCAAACAGG
rnacentral:rRNA from 1 species